rnacentral:rRNA from 1 species
GUAGGGUGCAGGCGUUAAUCGGAAUUACUGGGCGUAAAGCGUGCGCAGGCGGCUCCCUAAGUCAGAUGUGAAAGCCCCGGGCUUAACCUGGGAACUGCGUUUGAAACUGGGGAGCUAGAGUGUGGAAGAGGGGGGUGGAAUUCCAUGUGUAGCAGUGAAAUGCGUAGAGAUAUGGAGGAACACCGAUGGCGAAGGCAGCCCCCUGGGCUAACACUGACGCUCAUGCACGAAAGCGUGGGGAGCAAACAGGAUUAGAUACCCUGGUAGUCCACGCCCUAAACGAUGUCAACUGGUUGUCGGGGAAGCAAUUCCUUGGUAACGAAGCUAACGCGUGAAGUUGACCGCCUGGGGAGUACGGCCGCAAGGCUUAA